GCAGUAGCCGCGGUAAUACGAAGGGGGCUAGCGUUGCUCGGAAUGACUGGGCGCAAAGGGCGCGUAGGCGGAUUGUUUAGUUAGGCGUGAAAUUCCUGGGCUUAACCUGGGGACUGCGCUUAAUACAGGCAGUCUAGAGUGAGGAAGAGGGUUGUGGAAUUCCCAGUGUAGAGGUGAAAUUCGUAGAUAUUGGGAAGAACACCGGUGGCGAAGGCGGCAACCUGGUCCUUGACUGACGCUGAGGCGCGAAAGCGUGGGGAGCAAACAGGAUUAGAUACCCCCGUAGUCCCUGUCUCUUAUAC
rnacentral:rRNA from 1 species